rnacentral:tRNA from 1 species
GGAGGGAUGGCCGAGCGGACGAAGGCGCUGGUCUCGAAAACCAGUAGAGUCGCAAGAUUCUCGUGGGUUCGAAUCCCACUCCCUCCGCCA